GCAAAUGAUGAUUUUCCCUUUGGAAUCUCGUUCGUCUGAUUUUCCUGUUGAGAAAUGGAAUUGCUGACUGCA